CUGGCUCAGGACGAACGCUGGCGGCGUGCCUAAUACAUGCAAGUCGAGCGGACUUGUAGGAGCUUGCUCCUGCAGGUUAGCGGCGGACGGGUGAGUAACACGUGGGCAACCUACCUAUAAGACUUGGGAUAACUUCGGGAAACCGGAGCUAAUACCGGAUGACAUAAAGGAACUCCUGUUCCUUUAUUGAAAGAUGGCUUCGGCUAUCACUUACAGAUGGGCCCGCGGCGCAUUAGCUAGUUGGUGAGGUAACGGCUCACCAAGGCGACGAUGCGUAGCCGACCUGAGAGGGUGAUCGGCCACACUGGGACUGAGACACGGCCCAGACUCCUACGGGAGGCAGCAGUAGGGAAUCUUCCGCAAUGGACGAAAGUCUGACGGAGCAACGCCGCGUGAACGAUGAAGGCCUUCGGGUCGUAAAGUUCUGUUGUUAGGGAAGAACAAGUGCUAGUUAAAUAAGCUGGCACCUUGACGGUACCUAACCAGAAAGCCACGGC
rnacentral:rRNA from 1 species